UCUCAGGGUCCAAUUCGGAGAGAAAGAAAACCAGGCCGACAGACAGGAGUCCCUCCUCCUCCAACAAACAUUUUGACUCCGAAUUUUGCAGAGCUAGCCUCCCUCCUACCAUCCCCCGGAGAGACACAGAGAGAGAGAGAGGCAGGGCUUUGAUUCGAUCGAUACGAUGGCCACGGACAAGCAGCGAGGGGACGAGGAGGACGCGUCCCGGGUGGCGCUGCUGCACGCGGACGUGAGGAAGGAGGAGCGGCAGGUGGCGGCGGUGGGCACCGGCGAUCUCGGGCGGAGGGUGUGGGAGGAGUCGAGGAAGCUGUGGGUCAUCGUGGCGCCGGCCAUCUUCAGCCGCGUCGUCACCUACAGCAUGAACGUCAUCACGCAGGCCUUCGCGGGGCACCUCGGCGACCUCGAGCUCGCCGCCAUCUCCAUCGCCAACACCGUCGUCGUCGGCUUCAACUUCGGCCUCAUGCUGGGCAUGGCGAGCGCGCUGGAGACGCUGUGCGGCCAGGCGUUCGGCGCCCGCAAGUUCCACAUGAUGGGCGUGUACAUGCAGCGGUCCUGGCUCGUGCUCCUCAUGUGCGCGGUGGUGCUGCUGCCCAUGUACUUCUUCGCGGAGGAGGUGCUGCUCCUGACGGGGCAGCCGCCGGAGCUGUCGGCGAUGGCGGGGCGGGUCUCCGUGUGGUUCAUCCCGCUCCACCUGUCCUUCGCCUUCCUCUUCCCGCUGCAGCGGUUCCUGCAGUGCCAGAUGAAGAACAUGGUGAACGCCGUGGUCUCCGCCGCCGCGCUCGCCAUCCACGUCCUCGUCAGCUGGCUCUUCGUCGCCAGGUUCCGGUUCGGGCUCGUGGGCAUCGCGCUCACGCUCAACUUCUCGUGGUGGGCCACCGCCGCCAUGCUCUUCGCCUACGUCUCCUGCGGCGGGUGCCCGGAGACGUGGCACGGCUUCUCCGUCGAGGCCUUCGCGGGGAUGUGGGAGUUCGUCAAGCUCUCCUCCGCGUCGGGCGUCAUGCUAUGCUUGGAGAACUGGUACUACAGGAUCCUAAUCUUGCUGACUGGAAACCUCAAGAACGCUGCGAUUGCAGUGGAUGCGCUCUCCAUCUGCAUGACUAUUAACGGGUGGGAGAUGAUGAUUCCGCUGGCAUUCUUCGCAGGCACCGGGGUGCGUGUGGCGAACGAGCUCGGCGCCGGCAACGGCAGGGCCGCCAGGUUCGCGACCAUCGUGUCGUCUGUCACCUCGCUGGUGAUCGGGCUCUUCUUCUGGGUGCUCAUCAUGGGCCUCCACGACAAGUUCGCCUUCAUCUUCACCUCCAGCUCCGUCGUGCUCGACGCCGUCGACCACCUCUCCGUUCUCCUCGCCUUCACCGUCCUCCUCAACAGCAUCCAGCCCGUCCUCUCAGGUGUGGCCGUUGGGUCCGGUUGGCAAUCCAUGGUGGCCUACGUCAACAUCGGCUGCUACUACCUCAUCGGCAUUCCCCUGGGCAUUCUGCUCGGAUGGCUCUUCAACCUCGGCGUGCUGGGAAUCUGGGCGGGCAUGAUCGGCGGAACCGCCGUCCAGACGCUCAUCCUGGCCAUCAUCACGGUCCGCUGCGACUGGGAAAAGGAGGCCAUAAUCGCGAGCACGCGCAUGGACAAGCUGUCGCAAGUUCGGUGAUGGCCUGUGUCACCGAUUUUUUUGCUGAAUGGAAGAACAAGAAGCUCCUCAAGGGAAGCCAUGUAACGGGGAGGACAGCUUCCGGCGUGAAGACCGAGUUUGUGCGGGGCCACGGCCCAGUGAUGGCUUUGGCUACUGCUUGAUGCAUGCUCGUAUCAUUGCUACGGGAUAAAGUCGCCUAGGCGCUGACCCUUUCGCGUGCGACUAUUGCGAACACUGUUUCUUUGUCGGUAUACAUCCUUCAAGGAGUUCUCUUUGACCGCCGGCCAAUGAUGCUCCGGCGACCGGCGGUGCGGUGUAAAUACAGAGAGAAACAGGAGUAUGAAGUACUGCUAAUGGCCUAUUUAAGGAGCAUUACUCGAUCGCCAAAAGAAUCUUACAAUUCUGGGAGGCAUUCAAAUCGAGAUCGGACAUUUUUAUGAUGUACACUAUGCAGAACCUAAUCUUGUUUGCAGGUACCAGGAUGCAAGCAUCACACCUGCUGAUUGUACAGCUUGCACGGUCUUGUACCAGUACCACACAGAUCAUCCUUACAGGCACGCGAAAGUAAA